rnacentral:rRNA from 1 species
AUUGAACGCUGGCGGCAUGCCUUACACAUGCAAGUCGAACGGCAGCACGGAGCUUGCUCUGGUGGCGAGUGGCGAACGGGUGAGUAAUAUAUCGGAACGUACCCUGGAGUGGGGGAGUAACGUAGCGAAAGUUACGCUAAUACCGCAUACGAUCUAAGGAUGAAAGUGGGGGAGUCGCAAGACCUCAUGCUCCUGGAGCGGCCGAUAUCUGAUUAGCUAGUUGGUAGGGUAAAGCCUACCAAGGCAUCGAUCAGUAGCUGGUCUGAGAGGACGACCAGCCACACUGGAACUGAGACACGGUCCAGACUCCUACGGGAGGCAGCAGUGGGGAAUUUUGGACAAUGGGCGCAAGCCUGAUCCAGCAAUGCCGCGUGAGUGAAGAAGG